rnacentral:miRNA from 1 species
GACUACUGUCUGCCACACAGUAAGUGCUUAAUAAUGAAAACAGCAAACAUGAUCAUUUUUAAGAGCCUUUUCCCUUAUCCCGAGUGCACUUGGGAGC